rnacentral:rRNA from 1 species
GAUGAACGCUGGCGGCGUGCCUAAUACAUGCAAGUCGAGCGAACAGACGAGGAGCUUGCUCCUCUGACGUUAGCGGCGGACGGGUGAGUAACACGUGGAUAACCUACCUAUAAGACUGGGAUAACUUCGGGAAACCGGAGCUAAUACCGGAUAAUAUAUUGAACCGCAUGGUUCAAUAGUGAAAGACGGUUUUGCUGUCACUUAUAGAUGGAUCCGCGCUGCAUUAGCUAGUUGGUAAGGUAACGGCUUACCAAGGCAACGAUGCGUAGCCGACCUGAGAGGGUGAUCGGCCACACUGGAACUGAGACACGGUCAAGACUCCUACGGGAGGCAGCAGUAGGGAAUCUUCCGCAAUGGGCGAAAGCCUGACGGAGCAACGCCGCGUGAGUGAUGAAGGUCUUCGGAUCGUAAAACUCUGUUAUUAGGGAAGAACAAAUGUGGAAGUAACUAUGCACGUCUUGACGGUACCUAAUCAGAAAGCCACGGCUAACUACGUG